ensembl:snoRNA
CAGGCCCUGAAUGAAGGCCAGCGGUUUGCCGUAGCCGUUGGUUUCAAGCAGGAGCCCAGAGGAAAGAUUUCUCCCGGUCUGUUGGUGUUCCCCUCUCAAAAUGGAACGGCCAAUUCGUUUGGGAGCRACAAGG